rnacentral:rRNA from 1 species
UACAGAGGGGGCAAGCGUUGUUCGGAAUUACUGGGCGUAAAGGGCGCGUAGGCGGCCCUCUAAGUCAGACGUGAAAUCCCCGGGCUCAACCCGGGAACUGCGUCUGAUACUGGAGGGCUUGAAUCCGGGAGAGGGAUGCGGAAUUCCAGGUGUAGCGGUGAAAUGCGUAGAUAUCUGGAGGAACACCGGUGGCGAAGGCGGCAUCCUGGACCGGUAUUGACGCUGAGGCGCGAAAGCCAGGGGAGCAAACGGGAUUAGAUACCCCGGUAGUCCUGGCCCUAAACGAUGAAUGCUUGGUGUGGCGGGUAUCGAUCCCUGCCGUGCCGAAGCUAACGCAUUAAGCAUUCCGCCUGGGGAGUACGGUCGCAAGGCUG